UACAUUGUAAAUCCAUAUACUUUCAAUCUUGUUCAAUACGAUUCUUCUUCUUCAAUUCAAUUUGCUCUGCAAAUUUCUGACAGUGUGACGUUUUUUUCUUGGCAUCUUCUGUAGGAGCCUCGAAGAAAGGGCAUCCUAUAACCUCCAACCUUCAAUUUCGUUGGAUGCUCGGUGGUCAUCAUCUCACCUCAUGCUGCCAAAUCCAGCUGUUUCAUUUGCUUUACAGAUGGGUUCCAACCUCCGUGCAUUUUGAAGGCUCCCCCGUUCACUUGUACUUGAAACAGGUUCACUAGCUUCACCUGUUGGAGCUUGGAAAGAUAAUGCAGUUCAUAUUAUCAGUAAGAUGCUCAACCAACCAGUUAUAUGUAUUUUUGUGCCAAUACUUCCUCAUAUGUUGGCUAAGGAGGUGGUAAAUGCUAUUGAAUGCAACAAUGGAAAGUAUGACUUGAAGUAAGAUUUUUGAAGAUUUUGUUGAAAGCGGAUUUCAUCUUUUUUUUUUGUCGUGACAUCUCCUAAACGGAUUAUAGAACUGAUGCAAGAGGAAGGCUUGACUAAUGGUGAAGGGAAAAGCUAUUUACAAGUAGCAGAGUUGAUGUGGAGAAUAUGGUCUCUUAAUUUUGAUUUAUGGGUUGAAGAAUUGGUGCUCUAAAAAAGAGAGAAGAGAUAGGGGCUGAUAAGGGAGUGAUGCUAAAAAGGGAACACCGAACUUGGACCUGUGCUGGACUUAUCCCUUAAUUUUGAUUAUGGUUUAGUAGGUUUACCUUAUGGAUGGUUUGCUUUCUAGGUUUUUUUCUUUCUAGCAUUGUUAAUUUUAAAAUUUGAAUCUUGCAAUGCCUAAAAGAGUGACAUGUGCUCGAUGAUAGAAGCUGAAAAUGGUGAUUGGUAAUUUUUGUUGAAUGCCAUAAAAUUCAGAGA